rnacentral:lncRNA from 1 species
GAAUUGGUGGUGAGCUGGGGAUCUAGGGCACGAAUUGGAGAGACCAGAGAUAGAGGGAGUCGAUCUGGAAGGUUUCAGGCGCCGGUGGUGGUGGUGCGGGCGUCGUCGCCGGAGGCGGCAGGUUGGGGGAUGGGGGAGGGAAUUAGGGUUUGGAAGGAUGAAAGAUUGGGGAAGAUGACGAUGAUAUGUAUUUUUUUUUAGUUUUUUUUCACAUGUAAUAAAUAUGCUUAGGUGUCAAUUUUCGGCUGCCACCUCAUCCAUUCCGGCUGCCACAGUGUCAAUUCCGGCGCCGGCAUGAGAAAAAAUUGAUCACCUGACAAAUUCGAGACAAAAAUG